GGGGAUAUAGCUCAGUUGGCUAGAGCGCUUCCAUGGCAUGGAAGAGGUCAAGGGUUCAAAUCCCUUUAUCUCCA
rnacentral:tRNA from 1 species